UGUAGGACUACAUGUAUUUCUGAAAAUGAAGAUGAAGCAACUCCAACUAGUCAAAGAGGAACUGUCAGUAAAGUGGGAGAUUUAGCUGUGUCUAGAGGGAGAG